CAGGACCGGACAACAGCUCAUUUUUCUCUGACCAGACAGCACCGGUCCCAGGAGGUCCUGAGUCUGCAGUCUGCUUAGAAGAGAGACUAGUUCGGUUUAUUCCGCUCCCCUUAGCAAGAGUUUUACUGACAAGUCUUCGCUUUUUUGCACGAGAUGGCUGUAUACGUAGAAUAUCACAUAUACAAGUAACAGAACGUAAAAGAAGAAGUUUGACCGCUGAUACUCUCCCAGGAGGCAGUGAGAUCUGGACGCUUGAUUCAAUCCCGGUUCAUCUUUGGAGACGGGAUAGAAGCCUCCACCGGUGGACCUGUGUUGUAGGUCCGCUUGCCUCAGGAAAUGUGUGAUGAAGCUCAGCUUUGGGACCGGAGAGACGCGGGUUGGCGACAGUUGCUGAUGCACAGGGCUGUUGCUGAAACCGAAGCUUGUG